rnacentral:lncRNA from 1 species
UCUAAAGAUUCUUCCAUUAUUUUAUACGAAUUGAUAGCCUCUACCUCCAAUUCAAAGAAUUACCUUAAUUUCUUAGUGAGUACUAGAAUCCACACAAACUGCAUAUAAGUCCGAGGAUGGCUCGAUCAACCCAUAUGCAUCCAUGGGUUGGUUCUUAACCAAUUAUUUCUCCAAACAACUUCUAGUAAUUAAUUCACCUC